rnacentral:tRNA from 1 species
AAGAAGGUGGCAGAUUGGGUAUGUGUUUGGUUUGAAACCAAAUAAUGGGGGUUCAAUUCCCUCCUUUCUUG